rnacentral:rRNA from 1 species
UUCGCCCUUAGAGUUUGAUCCUGGCUCAGGACGAACGCUGGCGGCGCGCCUAACACAUGCAAGUCGAACGGAGCAUUGAGAGCUUGCUUUUAAUGCUUAGUGGCGAACGGGUGAGUAACGCGUGAGUAACCUGCCCUGGAGUGGGGGACAACAGUUGGAAACGACUGCUAAUACCGCAUAAGCCCACGAUCCGGCAUCGGAUUGAGGGAAAAGGAUUUAUUCGCUUCAGGAUGGACUCGCGUCCAAUUAGCUAGUUGGUGAGGUAACGGCCCACCAAGGCGACGAUUGGUAGCCGGACUGAGAGGUUGAACGGCCACAUUGGGACUGAGACACGGCCCAGACUCCUACGGGAGGCAGCAGUGGGGGAUAUUGCACAAUGGGGGAAACCCUGAUGCAGCGACGCCGCGUGGAGGAAGAAGGUUUUCGGAUUGUAAACUCCUGUCGUUAGGGACGAUAAUGACGGUACCUAACAAGAAAGCACCGGCUAACUACGUGCCAGCAGCCGCGGUAAAACGUAGGGUGCAAGCGUUGUCCGGAAUUACUGGGUGUAAAGGGAGCGCAGGCGGACCGGCAAGUUGGAAGUGAAAACUAUGGGCUCAACCCAUAAAUUGCUUUCAAAACUGCUGGCCUUGAGUAGUGCAGAGGUAGGUGGAAUUCCCGGUGUAGCGGUGGAAUGCGUAGAUAUCGGGAGGAACACCAGUGGCGAAGGCGACCUACUGGGCACCAACUGACGCUGAGGCUCGAAAGCAUGGGUAGCAAACAGGAUUAGAUACCCUGGUAGUCCAUGCCGUAAACGAAUGAAUUACUAGGUGUUGGAGGAUUGACCCCUUCAGUGCCGCAGUUAACACAAUAAGUAAUCCACCUGGGGAGUACAACCGCAAGGUUGAAACUCAAAGGAAUUGACGGGGGCCCGCACAAGCAGUGGAGUAUGUGGUUUAAUUCGAAGCAACGCGAAGAACCUUACCAGGUCUUGACAUCCGAUGCAUAGCGCAGAGAUGCGUGAAGUCCUUCGGGACAUCGAGACAGGUGGUGCAUGGUUGUCGUCAGCUCGUGUCGUGAGAUGUUGGGUUAAGUCCCGCAACGAGCGCAACCCUUAUUGCCAGUUACUACGUAAGAGGACUCUGGCGAGACUGCCGUUGACAAAACGGAGGAAGGUGGGGAUGACGUCAAAUCAUCAUGCCCUUUAUGACCUGGGCUACACACGUACUACAAUGGCGUUUAACAAAGAGAAGCAAGACCGCGAGGUGGAGCAAAACUCAAAAACAACGUCUCAGUUCAGAUUGCAGGCUGCAACUCGCCUGCAUGAAGUCGGAAUUGCUAGUAAUCGCGGAUCAGCAUGCCGCGGUGAAUACGUUCCCGGGCCUUGCACACACCGCCCGUCA